AGUCUUUGAAAGUAGUGAUAUCGGUCGUUAAAACUAGAUAAAAGAGCGCCGUAUAUAUUUAUUUUUGCUAUUCUAACAAAUUCUUUUAUCAUUUGGCUAACUUUCUUUUAGUACUUUUUUUUUUUGUUUAAUUACAAUCUCCUACUCGUGGAAACCCCAUUCCUUCUCUUCCAAAUCAGAAUUUGUCUGCGAGCCCUAAUCUCCAAUACCGCUUGCAUCUUGGUCAUGCGAAAUCGGGUGAUCAGUCUACCUCUCGAUUCUUGUAUGUGAUAUAAUUACAUUAUGAAACUAGACAACACCGAGGGUUUCAAAUUGGUCAUCAACAAAACGCCCAUGUCUCUCACACCACAGGUAACAAUUCACUUUUCCAGAUAAAGAAUUUUUGAACACCGGAGCUUGUCGAUGAAGAAAGUGUGAAGCAAGUAUAAGCAACAGAACAUGCUAAAGAAUAAGUUGGAGUCGAAGAAAUUUUUUCCUAGGAGGCUUUUAGAGAUGUUCCAUUGCAUAUGCUACACAUAUUCUUCUUUCUUAAGAGUUGACAAAUACAAUGUCAUAUUCUGUACAUUUUUGGUAAUAUGAUGAUUAGUUCUGUUUAAUAACGAUGAACUUUUAUAUGGA